AUUGAACGCUGGCGGCGUGCUUAACACAUGCAAGUCGAACGGAGUGGCGAACGGGUGAGUAACACGUGGGUGACCUGCCCUGCACUUCGGGAUAAGCCUGGGAAACUGGGUCUAAUACCGGAUAGUGUGGGAUGGGCCCGCUGCCUAUCAGCUUGUUGGGGGGGUAAUGGCCAACCAAGGCGGCGACGGGUAGCCGGCCUGGGAGGGUGGACGGCCACAUGGGGACUGAGAGACGGCGCAGACUCCUACGGGAGGCAGCAGUGGGGAAUAUUGCACAAUGGGCGGAAGCCGGAUGCAGCGACGCCGCGUGGGGGAUGACGGCCUUCGGGUUGUAAACUCCUUUCACCAUCGACGCGGUAGAUGGAGAAGAAGCACCGGCUAACUACGUGCCAGCAGCCGCGGUAAUUC
rnacentral:rRNA from 1 species